rnacentral:rRNA from 1 species
GGUGCCUUCGGGAACUCUGAGACAGGUGCUGCAUGGCUGUCGUCAGCUCGUGUUGUGAAAUGUUGGGUUAAGUCCCGCAACGAGCGCAACCCUUAUCCUUUGGUGCCAGCGCGUGAUGGCGGGAACUCAAAGGAGACUGCCGGUGAUAAACCGGAGGAAGGUGGGGAUGACGUCAAGUCAUCAUGGCCCUUACGAGUAGGGCUACACACGUGCUACAAUGGCGUAUACAAAGGGAAGCGACCCCGCGAGGGCAAGCGGAACUCAUAAAGUACGUCGUAGUCCGGAUUGGAGUCUGCAACUCGACUCCAUGAAGUCGGAAUCGCUAGUAAUCGUAGAUCAGAAUGCUACGGUGAAUAC